rnacentral:rRNA from 1 species
UACGUAGGGGCUAGCGUUAUCCGGAAUUACUGGGCGUAAAGGGUGCGUAGGUGGUUUGUCACGUCGUCUGUGAAAUUCCGGGGCUUAACCUCGGGCGUGCAGGCGAUACGGGCAAUACUUGAGUGCUGUAGGGGAGACUGGAAUUCCUGGUGUAGCGGUGAAAUGCGCAGAUAUCAGGAGGAACACCAAUGGCGAAGGCAGGUCUCUGGGCAGUUACUGACGCUGAGGAGCGAAAGCAUGGGUAGCGAACAGGAUUAGAUACCCU